GGAGUCUGGUCCGUGUCUCAGUACCAGUGUGGGGGACCUUCCUCUCAGAACCCCUACUGAUCGUUGCCAUGGUGGGCCGUUACCCCGCCAUCAAGCUAAUCAGACGCAUCCCCAUCCCACAGCGAUAAAUCUUUGCUCCUCGUUAGAUGCCUGCUAAGGAGAACAUAGGGUAUUAAUCCGACUUUCGCCGGGCUAUGCCCUACUGCGGGGAAGGUUGGAUACGCGUUACUCACCCGUGCGCCGGUCGCCGACAAAGAAAGCAAGCUUUCUUCUCGAUGCCCCUCGACUUGCAUGUGUUAAGCCUGUAGCUAGCGUUCAUC
rnacentral:rRNA from 1 species